AGAGUGGUGGUGAUGCCAAGGAUGUCACUGCAGGAGAAGAGGGCCUGGGCUUCUGAGCCACCGAGAGCUCACAGGACUGGAUCUGACAUUCCUGAUGCAUCACACCGGAACCCUCUUCCUGCAGAUACUGUAAUCUGUCCUGUCCUUGAUGAUCUGAUUCCAUGCCAUCUGUCCAACUUCAACUCCAACACUCACCCUCAGGUAUCUUAUGCUGCUGCAGAAACAGACUGCUUGCCAUUUCCUGAGAGCACCAUACUUCUUUAAACAUUCAUCCUUUUACCUGCCAUGCCCCUGCCCCUCUUCACUACCUGGCCUACCUAUAUUACAAUUUCUAAGAAAAUUAGCUGACUUCCUCAGGCAGAAAAAAAUUGAUUUAUAUUCUUGCAUAACAUUCUGUCCCUAAAAAUACCAUUCGACUGAAUUAUAAUAAGCUGUUUAACUAUCUAUCAUCUUCAAAAGGCCUGGAGUUCCCUGAGGAACUCUCUAAUUACUUUAUCCCUAGCAUCUCCAUGGUGCUUGGCACCAGGAGGGCAUUCAGUCAAUGUUUGUGGAUUUCAAAAUGCAAGUUUUUAUAGACUGCCUCCCAGAACCUGGGCUCUAGGGGCCAAUUCUCCCCUUUAUCUGGGCCUCUUUCUGAGGAGGACAAAGCUGAACAGGUCUGGCUAGGUACUCAGAAAAGAGCUGCUCAGGUAGUGGUUAACACCACUCAGUCCAAUUCUAUUCUAGAAGCAUUCUUCCACCCACAUUCUUAUUAGAAUCAUACGAAUAAGGAAUGCUACCUAAGGAGGUCCUUUGGUCAUUCAGACCCCCGGCUCCCCUGCAGGUCCACUUCCUUCCUGCCUUAUCAGAUUUCUCUAUAUUCCUGGUAGACCCUCAGCAUGCCGUGGCCAUCCCUACCUCCCUAUGCUGGUCCAUGUGGAGCCUCCCUGAAAUCUCAAUGAUCCCUGCGUUUUCAGUUUUUAACCCAGAAUCAGCUGUCUCAUCCCCAGAGAACAACACCCAGCAUCUUCUGUUUGGUGUCCCUAUCCUGAGGAACCUCUUCCCCUAGGACUAGAUGUGCUGACAUGCAAGAAUGCUAUUCAAACCACAUGGAUCUUUUACAUAACAAGAUGCAAAAGAGGUUGUACAAGAAUAAUCUGGAAACAUCACACUAAAGAAGAGGAAAGCAGUAUAAUCUGGAGGACUCAAAUUUAGAGUCACACCAAAGGGAUCCAAAUCCCUGAUUCAGCAAUUAUUUUCUGUGUGAACUCAGGUAAAUUAACCUCUCCAAACCUCAGCUUUCCCUCAUGUGAAGUAGGAAUAAAAUUAGUAACUAUUUAAUUGGACUUAAAUGAAGUAACCCCAGUUCUUAUUAGCACACUGCCUGAUACACCAUAAUAAGUGCUCACAUCAGUGAUAGGGUUAUAUUAACAGGGAUCCCUUUUACAUUUGUCAAGUGAACAGAGUUGCUUUCCCCUGCCCUUACCUUCCCCUCAGUCUCAACACAAUACACACACACACACACACACACACACACACACACUCUCUCUCUCUCUCAUGCACAAAUAUAUUUGCUUUGCUUUUUCUUUUCUUGCUCUUCAACUCCUCAUAUCUAUAAUAUAAUUGAGAGCAGUAAAUAAGCACAAUAAUUAGACCCGAGGUUUCUGCCUUGGACAUCAGGCAAUAAAUAGGCACAAUUCAGUCUAAUUAAAGCACCCUUAAAUGUGAAGUUACCCUAAGAACUUUUCUCAGAAUUUCAAUUGAAAGUGAGGUUCAUUUGCAUCUUAUUACUUAAAAGAACUGCAAAUAGGGAAAGGCAACAAUUUCCACAAUCCACAUAGAGUAAUAAAAAGUAUGGGAGUAAUUCUUUAAAUGUAAACCUAAUUGAAACAAAAAUGAUUAAAUGAUUGUAUUUAAAACAAACAUUUAGAAGGACAUGCUUUACAUUUGUUGAAUUUGGUAAACCAGACACCUGCCUGGUCAGGUCACGAGGGAAGAAACUGGGACCUGAAACUAGACCUACCCAUCAGAGAGGAUGGCUCAGUUGCAGGUGCUGGGAGAAUGUCCAGUCUGGCAAGCAGAACAAAGUAUCUGAAGAAUAUGGCAGAACACAAGGAUUGAUAAUGCAGCCAGGAAAUUGGUAUCAGGAGGCAAACAUGAAAGAGCAGAAGUUCACUCAAUACGAAACCACGGCUUGGUGCCAAGAAGCAGCUAAACGUGUCCCAAAUUCAGGCAGGCAGCAUCAGAAAGCCUUAUCUACCAUAGUAGAGCCACAGUCAGACUGUGGAACAGGAGCUGGACCCCGGUGGCUAAGAGAGAGAAAGAAUGGCAAACGUAAGGUUGGGUCUUAGGUGUUCUUAGAGGACCUGGGCAGACCUGGCAAACUUUUAAAACAGGAACUCAAUUCUGGGUAAUGGGAGAAGAAUGCGGGUAUGAGAACUGCAGCAUAAGGUAGAUACUGAAUCCAAGGAACGAGAGACAUACAUGACUCUAGAAAUUACAGCAAAAGCCAAAGGCAGACCGGAAGCCAAACUAGCUUGAUGCUAAGGAAGAAAAGUAUUGGAUUGGAACUCCUUAAAUGCCUCCUCUCCCAGGUAAAGCCUGGCCACAGGGAGCUUAGAAGGCUGAGUGAACAGGCUGAAGUCAUGGUGAGCAGAGAGGUCUGCAGAGACUGGAAACUAGGAAGGACUUGACAAUAACAAGAUCAGGAAAACCAGGCCCAUAGUUCCAAUUUUGUAAUCAAUAUAAUUACCCUGAAACUUUCUAAGCAACAAGUAGCAGCACUCUUAUUUAAAUCAAAUCUCGCACGUAUAAUUAAGAAAAUCCAUGUAUGUUUGUUUUAAUGAAUUUGACCUAUAGUAACAAGAUGGGUUAUUUUUGCUGCUCAGUCCACUGUCCACAGAAGAUGAAAAAUAAAAGUAACCCUUUUCCUAUUUUUCUCUCCUUUUCAUUAGUGUGUAAAUUUAACCUAUGAAAAUGAAUUGCCUUUCUGAAUUUCUUCUCAUCUCUGAAAUACAAAGAUGUCUCUCUCUAAAAAAACAGUAAAUACAUUUUUUAAGUUUUUGUCAUUCUUCUGAGAGCAACAUCUUCUAACAGGGCCCUAAAGCAUUGAACCCUAAUAAUAAAAAUGCAAUAUAAAAGUUAUUAAUGUAUUUAGCACACCACUAUGUGUUACUACCUGCCACAAAGUGACACUCACACACAAAAUGUCUGUCAUACCCAUGGCCCAAUUCACUUUGGAGAAGAAUCACCAAAUAGCCAUCCUUGGAAGUCAAGGAUCUCCUCUUUUGGUAUGAACACUCAUAAGAUGAAGACAGAGUAGUUUCAUAAGCCAAACAUGCCCAUUUCUGUUGUGACAGCCUACCCCUA
rnacentral:lncRNA from 10 species